rnacentral:rRNA from 1 species
CAAUACCACCGGCGCACGGGUGCGUAACGCGUAUGCAACCUGGCCCAAUCUGGGGGACAGCCCCGGGAAACCGGGAUUAAUACCCCAUGGUCCAACUAGUCGGCAUCGAUUUGGUUGGUAAAGAUUUAUCGGAUUGGGAUGGGCAUGCGUCCGAUUAGCUAGAUGGCGGGGUAACGGCCCACCAUGGCUUCGAUCGGUAGGGGGUCUGAGAGGAUGGUCCCCCACACGGGCACUGAGACACGGGCCCG